rnacentral:lncRNA from 1 species
AACGGUCAGGAACCUAGGUCAGGACAGGCACACCUGCUUUCCCGCCCAAACUUCGCAUUUUCCAAGACCACCCUGGCUCUCCAUGCCCCCAUUCUGGGCCUAUAAAAACCCAAGACCCUUGCAGGCAGAUACACAAGUGGCUGGACGUCCUAAUGAACAACACAUCAGGGGAAGAAGACACAAGCGCUGGUCAUCCAUAGGAGCACCCCAGCAGAAGGACACGCUGACAGGCACCCGGAAGCCAGUAGGCCGUGGACCAGCGGGAGGAGGCGGAGGUUGGCCUGGGCAGUCAGGGGAGAGCCGGGGCUGCCGAGCACCCCAACUCCAGGGGAAAACCAUCUCCCUUCUGGCUGCCCCAUGGGCGGAGAGCUACUUCCACUCAAUAAAACUUUGCACUCAUUCUCCAAGCCUAUGGGUGAUCCGAUUCUUCAGGUACAACAAGGCAAGAACCCAGAUACAGAAAGCCCUCUGUUCUUGCCACAACGUAGAGGGCCUAAUUGAGCUGGUUAACACGAGCCGCCUAUAGAUGGCAGACUAAGAGAGUAUCCUGUAACAUGCCCACUGGGGCUUCAGGAGCUGUAAACAUUCACCCCUAGACCCUGCCCUGGGGUAGGAGUCCCACAGCCUGCCCGUCUGUAUGCUCCCCUGGAGGUCUGAGCAGCGGGGCACUGAAGAAGCCCGCUAUGCCCCCAUCGCGAGCCCCGCGAGGGGGAGGAGGGAGCCUUUGCCUUUUCAACUGGAGACAUCGACCGGGAUCCUGGAAGGUGAGUGUGUAUGAAUUGCGAAACUGUCUGGUCUUCCUCUCUUCUGAAACUCUGCCACCUCUCUCUCUUUCCUGUGAGUAAGAGACUCUGUUUCCCUUCAGGGAGUUUUAAACUGCCCUAACCGGCCGUCAAAACCCCCAGACUUUAAUUAUAAAAUAAGUAAUGAACAAUUCUUAAUCAGUUAUAAUAACAAUGAUAAAUUAUGUUAUUUAUAUAUUAAGUUACAAAUAUAGGCUACAAACAAUGAGUGCAUAUUUCUGUAAGCAAAUAUGCUAUAGGAUUUUAAAAUAAAUUACCUAAUUUAAUUAUUGGAUAAGUUUUAUUAACUAUUAUUAUAACUAUUCCUUAGGUGAAGGCAUAGAGGCUCUGAAAGUUCAAAUUAUUUGCUCUACUAACCAAUAUACAUUUUCAAUUAUGAAUUGGAAAAUGUAUGUCUAAGGAACUCAGUACUAAAUUUUUUUUCAUGUAUCAAGUGCAUUUUUAGUAUAUAAGGAGAAUAUGCAUUAUAUGUUGGCAAGAAGAUGUUGGGAUAAAUCAGGAAUUAUUUUUUAUCGAUCCUGGUCUAGAUAUACUUUAUAUGUAUUGUUACUUUUUUUAUCCUGACAAUGAAGCCUGUGAAUAAGAAAACCAUUAACCGUCAGAGAAAAAAGCCAUUCACAGGUAUAUAGUCAUCUAUUUUAAUUAAGCAUAUUAUAUUUAAUUAAAUAUAGCUAAUAGAAUUUUCUAAAUUUUACCUUUUGUUUUCAGUUUAGAGACCACCAAGAAAACAAUGAAAUAAAAUUUACAGAUUUAUGCCAAUUAUUUGUUAGAAAUGCCACAUUGGAAAUGAAAGCCACAAAUAUCAGUACUAACAUUUAUGCAUGUCAAUAUCUAAGAAGCAUCUGAACUCUCUUUUUUAUAUUUUGCUUGAAGUGUCAGAGAAUACCUUCAACAAAGUUGAUGGAAAAAGUUCUCUCGCGUAUUGAUUAGACGUACAUAAAUAGGAAUCUCAUGAUUGGAGAAUAGAGGAUACUAAUGCGUAGGCUAUCUCCCAUCUUCCCACUCAAGUUAAUCACAACUUUUUUCUUUAGUUAACUCCUCCUUUGUAUUCAGAAGUGAGUUUAGUCGUCUCCUAAAUCUUUUCUCUUGCCUCCUUGAUUUGUUCAAAUACCUUUAUGCCAUCAUAAGAAUAUUCACUUCUUCUUCAAAGCUUUUUCUUAGUUAUAAUAUUACAUGCAUUUUUGUAAGUCUUAAUGUUUGUCUCAUCUACUACAUGGUGAAUUUGAGGAGAACAAAGAUCAUGCGUCUUUUUUGUGGUUGAUAUUUUAACAUACUCUAGCUCCAGGACAGUGUCUGGCACAUAGUACAUAGGUAAUAAGUAUCCAGGAAAUGAAUGACAAGAUCUAUUUUCUUAAACAGAAAAGUAUUUGUGAAAUAUUACUCUUUCCUUGGCAAAUAAAAACCAUGAAAACAACAUUUUCUAUCAAUUGGGCAAGGAUCUGUGAUGGAUUGAUGGAAGGAGUAAACAAAGGAAUAAAAAUAAUUGAGGCCAAAAAUCUAUUUACCAUAAAUUACAAAUUCUAUACUUUGAACUUCUCUCUUGCUUUUUUUUUUCAAAUAUGUAUAAGUAGCUGCGGGAUGAAUAAACUUUUUCACUUUUGAAUUAUCUAGUGAUUCUAAACACAAAGGACCCUGGUAGGAUUCAGAAAACGUAAGUUGCAUUCAGAAUUAGUCAUUGAACAUAUGUUAUUGUGGUAAGUAGUGAGCAGCAGAAUUAGAGUUUUGAUUGAAAGUAUUUUUUCAAACCUCCUGUAAGACUGUUAAAGCCUUUUUGUUUCUGUGUGGGUCUUAAACUGUAAAACCUACCAGAAAUUUUUACUUUUUUAGUUUGCUAUGCCUAGGAAAUGGUUUAAACAAUUUAAAAUUUUGGAAAACAACAUGUAUUUUCAACACAUCGAUAAGUCACACACACACACACACAUAAAUAUGAUUUCUGAUUAGCGCUAGGAGAUUAUAAAGCUGAAUUGUUAAUCUAUUCAGUAAGAGAUUUUCACAAAAUAUAUUGAAAAAGAGAAAUAAUAAAUAAAAAUUAUAUACCAAUUUGACUGUUAAUUUAUGCUGAGGUAUAUAAAUGAUGCUACAACUUUCACAUCUGGGUCACUCUUGUUGAGAAAUGCAUAAAGGAGGAAACAAAGCAUAUAGAAUACAUGCUAGAAGAAAAUGCUUUUUCAACAGAAAAGAGGUUUGCUUGUUAAAAGACAAUUAAAAAAAAAUGGAUCAGCAGUUGCCACCUUACACAAGUCAGAAGGAUAUUUAUAGCUGAAUAUUCAGCCUGUAGCUUUCCAUAAAAGUUUUAAAUAUACAUUGAAAAUCUGAAGGAUCAUCUUCGAAAUCAACCCUAUCCAUUAGUAAUUUACAAUCUAUUUACUCUUAUUCAAUUCUAAGUAUGUCUGUGAGAUUUUAAAAUAUAUUCAGUGUUUCCCAUUAUACUUGGAGCUUUAGAGUAUUUUUUCACUCUCCAUUUGUGUAUGUGAGUGGCUAUAGGAGUGUUUCCUUGGAAGUUGUAGGUGGGUUUUUAGGACUGUUAUCUAUGAGCAUGCAUGGCUAUAAACGCAUUAAUUGAAGGGUAUUCAUGAUAACAGGACAGCUCUGACAUUGUUUUUGUCUUGUAGGAUUUGCUCUUUAUUUGGUGAUGUAAAAUUUAUCGUGGUCGCAUUUUGUUAAUGUUAAAAUAUUCUUCAAGAAUUCAUUUAACUAAGAUUGAUCAGAAUAACUAUAACUACAAAGAAAUGAUAUCAUGAGGAAAAAAUCUUUUUUGAAAUACCUAAUUAUCACUAGUAUUAAAUAAAUAAACCUUCAAAUGAUUCAGCA